rnacentral:rRNA from 1 species
AGUCGAGCGGUUGAGGGAAGCUUGCUUCCUGAUUCAGCGGCGGACGGGUGAGUAAUGCCUAGGAAUCUGCCUGGUAGUGGGGGACAACGUUUCGAAAGGAACGCUAAUACCGCAUACGUCCUACGGGAGAAAGCAGGGGACCUUCGGGCCUUGCGCUAUCAGAUGAGCCUAGGUCGGAUUAGCUAGUUGGUGAGGUAAUGGCUCACCAAGGCGACGAUCCGUAACUGGUCUGAGAGGAUGAUCAGUCACACUGGAACUGAGACACGGUCCAGACUCCUACGGGAGGCAGCAGUGGGGAAUAUUGGACAAUGGGCGAAAGCCUGAUCCAGCCAUGCCGCGUGUGUGAAGAAGGUCUUCGGAUUGUAAAGCACUUUAAGUUGGGAGGAAGGGCAGUAAGCGAAUACCUUGCUGUUUUGACGUUACCGACAGAAUAAGCACCGGCUAACUCUGUGCCAGCAGCCGCGGUAAUACAGAGGGUGCAAGCGUUAAUCGGAAUUACUGGGCGUAAAGCGCGCGUAGGUGGUUUGUUAAGUUGAAUGUGAAAUCCCCGGGCUCAACCUGGGAACUGCAUCCAAAACUGGCAAGCUAGAGUAGGGCAGAGGGUGGUGGAAUUUCCUGUGUAGCGGUGAAAUGCGUAGAUAUAGGAAGGAACACCAGUGGCGAAGGCGACCACCUGGGCUCAUACUGACACUG